GACCAGAAAAGUGCUUAUCCAAAGCAUCCUGCAAUGCCCAACAUAACGUCUUCUCAUGUGACCUGAAAGGGAGAAAAUCGCUUCUCCUCGAAAAAGUACAACGCGUGAUUCUCUCUUCACUCCAUCAUCAUCGUUGCGUGCUAACGUGCUUCGACAUGAAUAGAAAGAAAUUAUUGAACUCCAACGGUAACGCGUUCGUCUCGGCAUCACGGUUCAUCAUGUUUCAGCGGAACUCCGCGGUUCAGCAUCCUCCAUUCAUCUCGCUUUGCUAUCGCGCGUAAUCAGAAAAAAAGGAAUCGAAAGUGAAUUGAAAACUCACUGGAUUUAAUAGGUUGAAUGUCGCGGGUCAAGUGUUGUGGCAGGAUCAUGUUGCAUACAUUUCUUGCUGCAGGUUGCUGCAAGUUCAUUUGAUUUUGCUGCAUCUUGUAUAUUGGACUGUCAUGGUGAAUCAGCUGCAGGGCUUUGAGAAGUUUUGGAUGCCUAGAAGUUACAAUAGAGCUUGAAGUGGAUUGAAUGGGGCUGUUUUGGAAUUGAUUGGAUUGGCUUUGGACUUGUGAAUCAUAGGCUAAUGAAGUGUAAAUUGUGUAUCGAUUGAAAAAUGUAACUUUUGCAGUAAAAAUUCAAACAGUACUUAAGUUGGAGAUGGGUGUAAAUGUAUGUAUGUAAAUGGAAUUUGAAAUUGAAUCUAUGUAAUUGGAAAUUUGAAAAUUGAUUGUUUAUGUAUGAAACAUGAAUGUUAAUGGUUGAA